rnacentral:rRNA from 1 species
CUUUUGUGGGGUGCUCGAGUGGCGAACGGGUGAGUAACACGUGAGUAACCUGCCCUUGACUUUGGGAUAACUUCAGGAAACUGGGGCUAAUACCGGAUAGGAGCUCCUGCCGCAUGGUGGGGUUGGAAAGUUUCGGCGGUUGGGGAUGGACUCGCGGCUUAUCAGCUUGUUGGUGGGGUAGUGGCUUACCAAGGCUUUGACGGGUAGCCGGCCUGAGAGGGUGACCGGCCACAUUGGGACUGAGAUACGGCCCAG